rnacentral:rRNA from 1 species
GUGAGGAAUAUUGGUCAAUGGGCGAGAGCCUGAACCAGCCAAGUCGCGUGAAGGAAGAAGGAUCUAUGGUUCGUAACCUUCUUUUGCAGGGGAAUAAAGUGCAGGACGUGUCCUGUUUUGUAUGUACCCUGAGAAUAAGGAUCGGCUAACUCCGUGCCAGCAGCCGCGGUAAUACGGAGGAUCCGAGCGUUAUCCGGAUUUAUUGGGUUUAAAGGGUGCGUAGGUGGUUUGAUAAGUCAGCGGUGAAAGUUUGCAGCUUAACUGUAAAAAUGCCGUUGAAACUGUCGGACUUGAGUGUAAAUGAGGUAGGCGGAAUGCGUGGUGUAGCGGUGAAAUGCAUAGAUAUCACACAGAACUCCGAUUGCGAAGGCAGCUUACUAAGCUACAACUGACACUGAAGCACGAAAGCGUGGGGAUCAAACAGGAUAGAAACCCCGGUAGUCC